UGUUUUGUUGAAAAGCAUGUUAGAAUAAAUAGGUUUCGAUCAGAAAAAUAUCAUUUAAUCCUUAAUUUGUUCAUUUUAAUAAUAUGGAGAGAUAUUUAAAUGUUAAAGUAAAACUUGAUACAUAUACACAAAAUACAAUAUUUUACAAUUCUUAACAUAUCCGUCAAUACACAUGUAUAUUUAUACCAACCAGCCUUAAGAGGUUUACGAUACGCUGUAAAUUUUGUACGAAAUAUAUGUAAAAAUAAAAUAAAAUAAAAUGGUAAAAUUGUCAAUGAGAAGACCAAAUACCGCAUAGUCAGCUAGCAUAAUACCUCAAAAAUGAUAAAUGUGAAACAAUUCAAACAAGAAAACUAACGGUCUGGUUUAUGUAAAAAAAAAGAAAGAACGAAAUAAAUAUCUGUUAUUCAGCAACAGACGACAACCACAGAAAUAGAGGCUCCUGGCUUUGGGACACGAACAUACAGAAUGUAGCGGGGUUAAACGUGUACGCCAAACCCUCUCAAACCUGCCGGGAUAGUGGUGUAAUAGUACAACAUAAGAACAAAAUAUAAAGAUCAGACGACAAGUGCUUUACGUUAACUCAUCAAGACACACACAAGACGUAGCAGAGUAUUUAUAUAUCCUUACAGCAAAACCAAAAAUGACACUUAGUUCAUAUACGAGAUUAUUCGCAGUUACUGAUGGCUACCCCAAAGGGCAAUUCCACAAUAUAUGUUUGAAUCAAUGUGAACAUUUUCGUUUUUUGUAUAUUUUGAUAGAAUUUUGCUUUACCAAGCCUCUCCCAUGUUAUAACAUACAAAACGUAACUACACAUGUUCUUUGCAAAAUGACAUAAUAUAUCUGAACUAUACUGUGGAUUCAGUUCAAUGGUGCAAAAAAAAGACAUGAAAGAAGAAAAUAUAUUUCAAUAUACGGAAUCAUUAUGUAAUACCGUAUAUUGAAUGAAUUAAAAGUGAAACAUUUAUGAAGGUAUGCAGGUACGAAUGAACUUUAUAAACAGUAAAUAACACAUCCGUAACUUUUUAAUUUUUAAUAUUAUAUAUGUCUUCGUUUAUACCCGAGUUUACCAACUCAG
rnacentral:lncRNA from 1 species